rnacentral:rRNA from 1 species
GGACUACAAGGGUUUCUAAUCCUGUUUGCUCCCCACGCUUUCGCGCUUAAGCGUCAGUAACGGGCCAAAGAGCCGCCUUCGCAACCGGUGUUCCUCUCGAGAUCUACGCAUUUUACCGCUACUCCGAGAAUUCCACUCUUCUCUCCCGUACUCUAGCCUCCCAGUCUCAAUCGCAUGUGCCCGGUUAAGCCGGGCGAUUUAACAACUGACUUAAGAAACCGCCUACACGCUCUUUACACCCAGUUAUUCCGAAUAACGCUCGCACCCUUCGUAUUACCGCGGCGGCUGGCAC